GUGUCGGAACUUGACGGUACUGGUAGAAUAAGGAUCGGCUAACUCCGUGCCAGCAGCCGCGGUAAUACGGAGGAUCCAAGCGUUAUCCGGAAUCAUUGGGUUUAAAGGGUCCGUAGGCGGUUUUUUAAGUCAGAGGUGAAAUCCUGCAGCUCAACUGUAGAAUUGCCUUUGAUACUGAAAGACUUGAGUUAUUGUGAAGUGGUUAGAAUGUGUGGUGUAGCGGUGAAAUGCAUAGAUAUCACACAGAAUACCAAUUGCGAAGGCAGAUCACUAACAAUAUACUGACGCUCAGGGACGAAAGCGUGGGUAGCGAACAGGAUUAGAUACCCUGGUAGUCCACGCCGUAAACGAUGGAUACUAGCUGU
rnacentral:rRNA from 1 species